AUUGAACUGGUAGCAGUCCAUUAAGCAUGGACCACAGCACAGUUGUGUUAUUUAUUGGCUCGAAAAGAGGAAAAUUGUACCAAAUGAUAUGUCAGGAGUCUGAAUCCCAGGCAACUUGCUCAAUGCUUUUACAGGAUGGGCUCAUGAAAUCUAUGCACACGUGAACACAAGAAUAGAUCAAGAAAGCAAGAUACACGGAGGGAAGGGUGCUUCCCAAGGAGCCCAGGAGAUGUCUGAGCACAGGGAGAAGAGCUGCCUGGGCCUCACAGCUGCCAGAGUGAGUGCUGAACACCCUGAGCCCAAAGAGGACUGUGUCCACUCACAGGACGGUCAUGGGUUUUCCUUUAUUUGUACUCUGCUGGCACUGAGGUUUCUUUUCUAAGCCACUGACCAGGAAGGCUGGGGUGGAUCCAGGCCACACAGGUCAUGCUGAAGUACACACACAUGGUUGUGGUUGUGGGGGGGUGUCUCUAAAUGAUUGCUUCAUAUCACAGGACACAGCCAGGGCUCUCUGCAAGGUUGCAGCAAUUCACAGAGCACCAAAGAAGCCAAGAGAAUUAGGGGUGGAAGUGGGGAAAGGCCCUUCAUCUGGGGGAUGGUGGAAGGUACAGGAAGAAGGCCUAGAGAAAGCCCUGGAGAGGGGAACCAUGUCUUGUGCAGCCAUCAGUGCACCCAUCAAACAUGGAGCCCAUUGGGUUUCCUUGAAAAUGGAUGACUUAUGUGUAUGUUUUUAAUAUCUCUCUUUUUCCUUUUUUAAUAAAAAAGUAUUAUCAUAGAGCAGACAGAGUUUACAGCCAAACAUAUUGCCAUGCAUUUUCUAAAAAUAAAAUAAUUGCCUUUAUAAAACAAGAACAUAAAGCAGAGAUGCUGCUCAGGGAAGGUAUGGCAAGAGAGAAGGAAAUGAGGCAUGCUCAAACUGGCAGAACUUGGGAAGAUGUGAAAGGGAAACAUACAAUCGUUUGCAGAUGUAAAGAAGAACGGACACUAUCAAUAACACAGCAGGUACAUAGAGGACAGGAUUGUGAAGAAAGUGAACAAAAGAAAAUGGAAGUAAAGAGACAUUGAAAGGGACUUGAGUAUGGGAAGUCAGUAAAAAGGAUCCCAAAUAUUUGUAUUUGAUGAGUCUGAAGGAUAAAAGAACUAAGAUCAUGAAUGAAAAAUUUUUAAAUUAAAAUUAAAACUUAAGAAACAUUUCUGGAAAAAAAAGAAGACUUGAACAUAUAGAUUGAAAGAAAAUAUUGUGCCACCUAGAAACUGCAUACGGAGGUCAACACUAAAGCAUUUCUGAUGAAAAUAACUAAAACCUGAUCCCUUUCCCUUGACUCUCUUUUUAUCUUUGAAAUCUGACUUGAGUCUUUUUCCCAGCUAGAAGAGAGAGGAGCUGGCCUAUGAUGUACUUAAGAAAGUUGUUUUGUACCUAACUGUAUUAGGCCAUUCAUACAUUGCUGUAAAGAAAUACUUUAUAAAGUAAUUUAUGAAGAAAAAGGGUUUAACUGGCUCACUGUUACGCAGGCUUUACAGGAAGCAUAGUAGCAUCUGCUUCUGGGGAGGCCUCAGGAAGCUUCCAUUUAUAGCAGAAGGCAAAGAGGGAGCAGGCACAUCACAGCAAGAACAGAGCAAGAGAGAGGAUUGGGGAAAGGUGCCAUACACAUUUAAACGACCAGAUCUCAUGUGAACCCAGAGCCAGAACUCACUCAUCACCAAGGGGAGGGUACAAACCAUUCAUGAGAGAUCUGUCCCUGUGGCCCAAGUACCUCCCACCAAGCUCCACCCCCAACACUGGGGAUGACAUUCCAACAUGAGAUUUGGGUGGGGACAAAUAUCCAAGCAAUGUCACUAACCAAACUGACAUGCAAAUGUAAAGGCAACAGACACCUUUGAAUAUGUAAGAAUUCAGGAAAUAUGGUUUAUUGGAGCCUGUCUUGAAGAGACUACUAGCCAAAGAAUUUUAAC
rnacentral:lncRNA from 1 species